AACGGUAAAUAACCGUUGAACUAUACAUACAAGAUUUUGGCGCGCUCUAGUGGCCAAGGGAAAUCACCAUCAUCAUCAACAGCAUCAUUAUCAACAGCAGCGAUGGCUCAAACAAAGGAAAUGCACAAAUGGACACCACAGGAGACCAGACACCUCAUUAAUUUCAGGUCGACCAGGGACAAUGAGUUUCUCAAGUCAAAAAUGAUCGCCUGAAAACAGUGGGAGCUUUUUCUGGAAGAAAUGGGGAUGGAGGGAAAAGUUACAAGGCAACAGGCUUCUAAGAAGUGGGAAAACCUCAAAAAGAAGUACAAGGAUUUGAGGACUCCCAAAACUGGGUCGGGGACGGAAAGUGGGGAGGUGACAGUGGCGACGUGGCAGUAUUAUGAUUUGAUGCACAAGGUUCUUGGUGCCCGGCCAACAAUCGACCCACCAGUCCUUGUGUCCUCGAUUCAAGAAGACCCCAUGGUUAUCCUCAUGGAGAUGGUGGAGCCCUACAACCAAGCACCCCCGACAGCAGCCAGCACCCCAGUACACCCGCCGACCACAUCAAUCAUGCGAAGGAGGUCCAAAACAGUUGCAGAACUCCUGGCUGAGGAGGCACUUCAGGAGCAGAGGCGCCAUGAAGAGAGUGAGGCCAAGACAGAUCGCUUUCUUGAUCUCUUUGAGAGGAUGGUCAACAAAUUAUAAUUAUUGAUUUUUGUUGUUCCUAUGUUUUUGGUAUGCUAUUUAUUAUUCCUAUUUAUUAUUGUUGUAUAUAUUUCUAUUUAUUAUUUUAUGCUAUUUAUUAUUCCUAUUUAUUAUUGUUAUAUAUAUUUAUAUUUAUUGCUAUUU
ensembl:lncRNA